rnacentral:rRNA from 1 species
GACGAACGCUGGCGGCGUGCUUAACACAUGCAAGUCGAACGGCAAGACCCUGCGUUCGUGGGGUGCCCGAGGGGCGAACGGGUGAGUAACACGUGAGUAACCUGACCUUCACUUUGGUGUAAGUUCACGAAACUGGGGCUAAUACAGGAUAGGAUCUCCUGUUGCAGGGUGGGGGUUGGAAAGUCUCGGCCGGUGUGGAUGGAUUCGCGGCUUACCGCCUAGUUGGUGGGGUAGGGGCUUACCAAGUCUUUGACGGGUCGGCGGCCUGGGAGGGUGGCCGGGCACCUUGGGACUGCGGUACGGCGCAGACGGGUAUGUUGGACAGUAGUGGCAAAUAUUGCACAAUGGGCGCGAGCCUGAUGCGGAGGCGCCGCGUGCGUGAUGACGGCCUUCGGGUUGUAAACCGCUUUCGCCUGUGACGAAGCGUGUGUGACGGUAAUGGGUAAAGAAGCACCGGCUAACUACGUG